UACAGAGGGUGCGAGCGUUAAUCGGAAUUACUGGGCGUAAAGCGUGCGUAGACGGUUAUUUAAGUCGGGUGUGAAAGCCCCGGGCUCAACCUGGGAAUUGCAUUCGAGACUGAAUAGCUAGGGUACGGUAGAGGGAAGUGGAAUUUCCGGUGUAGCGGUGAAAUGCGUAGAUAUCGGAAGGAACAUCAGUGGCGAAAGCGACUCCUGGACCAGUACCGACGUCAGGCACGAAAGCGUGGGGAGCAAACAGG
rnacentral:rRNA from 1 species